GUCAUUGUGCUAGUAAACCUGCUUAGUACAAAAGGAACUGCAAGUUCAGACAUUUGGUGUAUGUGCUUGGCUGAAGAGCCAAUGGGGUGAAGCUACUAUCUAUGAAAUUAUGACUGAACACCUCUAAGUCAGAAUCCCCCCUAAAUGAAAUGAUACCACAGUGCCAAGGAGCCUCGUUGGGCCCCGGAUAGCUGGGCUGGUCCCCCGGAAGCUGGCCCCAGUAUGGAGGGCUGUCCAUUUCAGGAGUGGAGCAAGUUUGCGGAGAACCUGGUGCUAAAUCAUUCGUAGACAACCUGAUUCCGAGUCGAGGUUUCAUACGUAGCAGAGAAGCUGCCUCACUGCUAUCUAUUGAAAGUCAGCCCUCGACACACGCUUUU
rfam:Anolis carolinensis unplaced genomic scaffold chrTn0117, whole genome shotgun sequence.